GACGAACGCUGGCGGCGUGCUUAACACAUGCAAGUCGAACGGUAAGGCCCUUCGGGGUACACGAGUGGCGAACGGGUGAGUAACACGUGGGUGAUCUGCCCUGCACUUCGGGAUAAGCCUGGGAAACUGGGUCUAAUACCGGAUAGGACUCCGGACUGCAUGGUCUGGGAUGGAAAGCUUUUGCGGUGUGGGAUGGGCCCGCGGCCUAUCAGCUUGUUGGUGGGGUGAUGGCCUACCAAGGCGACGACGGGUAGCCGGCCUGAGAGGGUGACCGGCCACACUGGGACUGAGAGACGGCCCAGACUCCUACGGGAGGCAGCAGUGCGGAAUAUUGCACAAUGGGCGCAAGCCUGAUGCAGCGGCGCCGCGUGAGGGAUGACGGCCUUCGGGUUGUAAACCUCUUUCAGCACCGACGAAGCGCAAGUGACGGUAGGUGCAGAAGAAGGACCGGCCAACUACGUGCCAGCCGCCGCUGUAA
rnacentral:rRNA from 1 species